rnacentral:rRNA from 1 species
CCUACGGGUGGCAGCAGUGGGGCAUAUUGGGCAAUGGGCGCAAGCCUGACCCAGCAACGCCGCGUGAAGGAAGAAGGCUUUCGGGUUGUAAACUUCUUUUCUGGGGGACGAACAAAUGACGGUACCCCAGGAAUAAGCCACGGCUAACUACGUGCCAGCAGCCGCGGUAAUACGUAGGUGGCAAGCGUUAUCCGGAUUUAUUGGGUGUAAAGGGCGUGUAGGGGGGAAUGCAAGUCAGAUGUGAAAACGCAGGGCUCAACCCUGAGCCUGCAUUUGAAACUGUGUUUCUUGAGUGCUGGAGAGGCAAUCGGAAUUCCGUGUGUAGCGGUGAAAUGCGUAGAUAUACGGAGGAACACCAGUGGCGAAGGCGGAUUGCUGGACAGUAACUGACGCUGAGGCGCGAAAGCGUGGGGAGCAAACAGGAUUAGAUACCCCAGUAGUC